rnacentral:rRNA from 1 species
UACGGAGGGUGCGAGCGUUGUCCGGAAUCACUGGGCGUAAAGGGCGCGUAGGCGGCGCGGGGAGUCAACGGUGAAAGCUCGGCGCUCAACGCCGAGUCGGCCGUCGAUACUCCCGUGCUUGAGCACUGUAGAGGCAGGUGGAAUUCCGGGUGUAGCGGUGGAAUGCGUAGAGAUCCGGAAGAACACCGGUGGCGAAGGCGGCAUUCUGGACCAUAACUGACACUGAGAGACGAAAGCCAGGGGAGCGAAACGGG